UUAAUUGGGCUUGAUCACAUGAUCCAUAUCUUCUGUGUGCCUCUUGGUGCAAGACAGUGAUGACAUCCACCCCGCAGGGCUGUUUGCUCUAUUUGCACAAGCCCGCAAAACCAGAGAGGAGUUGGUUCAUUUGUGCAGCCAUAAAGCAUUUAUUUACCUCCAGGUGAGUGCCGCACAGAGUGCAGAGUAAAGAUCGCAGGAGAGAUUUACACCUGUCUCUCCGCUCAAAAGGAGAAGCCCAUAGCCUACAGAGAUGGCCACUGGAGCCAGCUUGUCUGGGGCCGUGCUAGACAGCCCACCCCCUUUUUCUCCAGUGUGGAUUAAACAACAUCAUAAAAAAUGACCAUCAACGCGCACACUGCAAACAGACCAUUCUCCUAGGCGCCUGCCGCGCAAAGCUUUCGUUUAAGAAGCGAAUGGCGGGCUGCAGAGUGCUUCCUGCGUCUUUCGUUUUUCAACACACUUCUUUGGACACUUUCCGGGCCAUGUAAACACCGCGGAGCGUUUUGAUGUUGCUGCUGCGGGUUUGAGAGACUUGUGGGAGGCUGCUGAUGGACAUCUACCAGAUAAGGAGCCGCAGCUAUUGCACCACAAGAGAUUCUUUUUUAAAUCUGUGGCUCUUUGAGACUCUUUGGAUGCACACAUUUAAAAAAAAUGUAUCUGUGAAAAUUUCUAUAUGACAAGCUGCACACUAUUGUGCACCCUUCUUUCACCCCUGUUUUACCUGUUGCUCAUAUCUUAACUGGGCUGUCAAGCCUGCAGGCAUUUGCAAAACACAUCACACCCUUUACCUGAAUUUCGUUCACUGAACAUAUUCUGUUUAAAGAUGGUCAGAAUCACACUGUUUAUUAUAUAUUUAUAGAGGUUAAGUUCAUGAAGGCCAUAACAAGUCUUAUAUUACUAUUUUAUUUAUCUUUUAAAUGUUAACAAAAGUCCAUCUCACAUUUCUUUAGUGUACUUCUUCACAUAUUCUACAUAUUUUAAUAUAUAGUAACUGAAACCGAAUGUAGCGACAAAAAACAUGGGAUUACAUGAGGAUUAGGAGCAACAACUUGGAAAUAUAAAAAAUAUCCUUAAACACCUUGUUCAAAGAUAUUUACCUUGUACCUUAAUGCCUUUGAAAAUACUUUUUUUUAAACAUUUUUGGUAUGUGAACAAGGCAGAUUUUUUGUUUUUUGAUGCAUUUUAAAGUUCAAACUUUUAGGCAACUUGAAAUGUGAACAUUCUUUUUAAAGGUCACCCAAUAUGCAUAUGAGAAAGGAAAUUAAAGAACUGAUUUUAGAUUUUCCGGCAAUAUUUAAACUUUCUACUCACAGUACCCCUCACAGGAUCCUAGUUAGGCAGAAUGAACUACUUUAGUAACAUAACCCAAAAUUUGCUGUCCAUGCAUGUGGGUCUUAAGAGGUUAAUCUUCAAUGAAAAAUUUGGGCUAAAAUUUGAGUGUGAUGGUAAAGAAUCAAGCACACACUCAGCAAAUUCGCCCUGCACGGCACUGCUUCACAGAAGCCAGUUUAAAACUCUCCAGAUUUUUCCCAGCCAUCCAGCACAAUACGGCUUUCGCAGCCACAAACACACUCGGGCAUUUCUUUUCACUCUUCUCUUAACAAAUUUUUUUUUUUUUUUUUUUGAUGCUCAAUUUAAACACCGACCACAUUUGCUGGGACAUUAGCCAGUGGUCACUCUGCUGUCCUCAAAGCAGGGAGGGUCUCCAACAGUCCUGUCAGGGAGUUCCAUGCCCCACCGUUGUGAAAAAGGUUUCCUUUGACUUCAAAACAGGAGGACUGUAGAGGUUCUUCUUGAUGGCCACAAAUUAAAAGCUUUACCAGUCAUUUCCUAAAGUUGUCAGCAUUCACUUGCCUAACUCUUCCAUAAUUAUUUUGGAUUUUACACAGAGUUUAAAAUAUAUUAAUUUCAUUUUAAAGUUCGUUUUUUUUAAAGUGUUUGAUGCAAAUUCCCAGAAACUUUAAUAAUAAUUUUUUUUUUAUGUGCAACAAGAUAGAAACUAGGUCCGGAGCUUUUUUUUAGGAUAGUUUUUGCCAAAGUGACUCCAUUCAGCUGAAGUCACAGCACAAGAAAAAUAUUAUUCAAAUUAGAUAAGAUUUUGAGCCGACGAAAACUUGAUUUUUACUCUGCAGAAUGUUGCAGUAGAAUCUGACCGUUGCAUGGAUUUCAGUUAGAAGAAUGUGUCCAUACGUUACACUAUAUUUGAUUGGGGAAAGUGUACCGGUAUUUAAAAGUAGUAAAAUGACGAAAAUUGUUUUGUUUCGCAGGCAAAAAAGUAGAAUUUCUGUGAUGCAAAGUGCGGCUUAGAGGAAGUUAAUGGAGAACUGCAGAUUUUUCUUCAGAUUGUUUAAUGUUUUAUUUAGUCAUGGAGCCUUUCAGUCAUUUUACACUAGCCGUCUCUUCUGGAAAGCUGUGGGACUGGCAGCGUAUGUGCAACCUGGAAAUUAUAAAAGGAAGCCUUGCAUCCAGUGAAUCCAUGAGGGAAUACUGAAUGGGAGCAGCAGGAGCCAACAGAGAGCGGUGAUUUCCAAAAUGGCUCUCCUAUUGAAUGACAAUAGCCAGACCUCUAUGCCUGUCUCUUUUUCUUUCUUCAUCAGACAACAAAAAAACCCCUCUAACAUAAUAAAAAAAAAGGGGCAAGAAGAAAAUAACGAAAUGUGAUUUGUUUGGAUUGGAGCAAAUUAGAUGUGAUUUCAAUUUGCCAGCUGAGAUUUCAGUAACAAAAUUUGUCAUCCAUGUAGGAAUUUCUCUUUUUUUUGAGUGCAAAUUUGCUGGUAUUUUUUGAUUUUUUUUUUGCAAAUAAUCAAGAUAUUUAGUAAAAUUUCAUUUUAGGAUGUGCAGAAAUACAUAAUCUUUAGAUCACACAGAGAGUAGAUUGUUAGCUUCAUGAGACUUUUUGAAAAUUAAAACACAAAAAAGUAAAAUAUUUUACUUCUUUGUGCAACAAAAACCUUUUUGGUGGAAAAUUGUCUUCCACUAAGUGCAUUAAAUUAGUUAUUUUCCCUGUGUCACUGUACCAUCCUUCAUUUGUGCUAUGACAGUUAUUUAUAUUCCAAAAUUUUUCAUUUAGUUUUGUGUUUGGUUUUUGUUUCACACCACCAGGCUGUUUAUUUUUCUUAAAUGUAUGGGAUUGUAAGACAGGAGCCCUACUUAUUCUCUCAACCUUCAAGGAUAGGGAAGAUUUUUUUCAAUAAAUAAUUCACCACUGAUAGCCAGACCUAAUGCAUACAUGAACAAAUCUCUCAGUUACAGCCAUCCUGGGAGUAAGCCAGUCCAUGAGCAUACUUAAUAAACACAUACAGAGCCUGGCAAGCUCUAGUUUCACUGAUGUCUUUCCGAGAGGAAAGUAUUUGAAGACAGUUGGUGAAACAGCAUCCUUUCUGAGGGUGAAGGUUUAGGGGUCAGGUGUGGGUUUUGCUGUAAGGCCACGUCAUCUCGUUGCGCUGUUGCUGCUGAUCCUCGGGAUAGAUUUACUGUCUGUUUUACACAGAUCGUAAUGUAAGUGUUUCUUCAGCUAUAUCUGACAUUUAUGUCUAAAAGAUUUUAUGAUCUUGCACCAAGACAAAUGGCAUAGAAACCCUACACGCGGAAUAGCCAAAUGUACAAAUAAGCCCAUGUAUAAACACAGGUAUGUGCCUCAUAUCUACACUGCAGUCUGUUUGAGCCCGUUAUCUUUUGUGUCCACAUUUACGACCGCAGGAUUGACUCAGUAUCAGAACCUCACAUUGACCACAUGUGCUCUUCACCCAGAAACAUAAUCCAGACAUGAUUCCUCUAACUCCUUUGGCUGAGGUGGCCAGAUGUGCACAUCCCGGCGGAGCUGCCUUGGAGAAGGAUCCCGGUAUCACGUGUCAGUUGGAUGACAAAGGGACAAAGAAGCAGCUGUGAAGAGCCUGGAAAGUCGCCCGGUGCUUCGCCCCUCACCUGUGUCCCCUCUGCCCGUUAGGGCCAUCAAGUCUCUGUGAAGGUGGGAAGGGAAUCAUUGGAGCGUAAAUGGUGACCAUUAUAUCCUGAUCGACCCAGCUGCUGAGGAUGAUGCAUCCCAGAGUUGAUGACUGACAGCCCCCUUACUCUAAAGCCGGUGUACCCUUUUGGAAACGCUCAAAAUCUACAAGUUUAUUAUUUAACACAUUGUAAAAAAAACACGUUUUUAAAAGACUGUACAUUACACGACACAAUGUUUGAGUAAAUUAUAAAUGUAAACACCAGAAUGUAAAGUUUAAAAUUUCUGUUUCUUACACAUUUUUCCAGAAUUAACAAGUGUUAAUGUUAAAGUUACUUAAUGAGGGAACCCCUUAAAAAGGGCCUAGCCCUAGAUCCUCCAAUACUUCUUAAUAUUAAGGUGUAUGUCUAUUUCAUAAUGUUAUGUCUAAUAAAAAAGAACAUGAAUCAUG